rnacentral:rRNA from 1 species
AGUGAACGCUGGCGGUAGGCCUAACACAUGCAAGUCGAACGGCAGCACAGCAAGAGCUUGCUCUUACGGGUGGCGAGUGGCGGACGGGUGAGGAAUACAUCGGAAUCUACUUUUUCGUGGGGGAUAACGUAGGGAAACUUACGCUAAUACCGCAUACGACCUACGGGUGAAAGCAGGGGAUCUUCGGACCUUGCGCGAUUGAAUGAGCCGAUGUCGGAUUAGCUAGUUGGCGGGGUAAAGGCCCACCAAGGCGACGAUCCGUAGCUGGUCUGAGAGGAUGAUCAGCCACACUGGAACUGAGACACGGUCCAGACUCCUACGGGAGGCAGCAGUGGGGAAUAUUGGACAAUGGGCGCAAGCCUGAUCCAGCCAUACCGCGUGGGUGAAGAAGGCCUUCGGGUUGUAAAGCCCUUUUGUUGGGAAAGAAAAGCAGCAGGUUAAUACCCCGCUGUUCUGACGGUACCCAAAGAAUAAGCACCGGCUAACCUCGUG